rnacentral:rRNA from 1 species
AUUGAACGCUGGCGGCAUGCCUUACACAUGCAAGUCGAACGGUAACAGGUCUUCGGAUGCUGACGAGUGCGAACGGGUGAGUAAUACAUCGGAACGUGCCUAGUAGUGGGGGAUAACUACUCGAAAGAGUGGCUAAUACCGCAUGAGAUCUACGGAUGAAAGCAGGGGAUCGCAAGACCUUGUGCUACUAGAGCGGCCGAUGGCAGAUUAGGUAGUUGGUGGGAUAAAAGCUUACCAAGCCGACGAUCUGUAGCUGGUCUGAGAGGACGAUCAGCCACACUGGGACUGAGACACGGCCCAGACUCCUACGGGAGGCAGCAGUGGGGAAUUUUGGACAAUGGGCGCAAGCCUGAUCCAGCAAUGCCGCGUGCAGGAUGAAGGCCUUCGGGUUGUAAACUGCUUUUGUACGGAACGAAAAGCCCUGGGUUAAUACCCUGGGGUCAUGACGGUACCGUAAGAAUAAGCACCGGCUAACUACGUGCCAGCCGCCGCGGGUAACAC